rnacentral:rRNA from 1 species
CACUCCUACGGGAGGCAGCAGUGGGGAAUAUUGCACAAUGGGCGCAAGCCUGAUGCAGCCAUGCCGCGUGUAUGAAGAAGGCCUUCGGGUUGUAAAGUACUUUCAGCGGGGAGGAAGGCGAUAAGGUUAAUAACCUUGUCGAUUGACGUUACCCGCAGAAGAAGCACCGGCUAACUCCGUGCCAGCAGCCGCGGUAAUACGGAGGGUGCAAGCGUUAAUCGGAAUUACUGGGCGUAAAGCGCACGCAGGCGGUCUGUCAAGUCGGAUGUGAAAUCCCCGGGCUCAACCUGGGAACUGCAUUCGAAACUGGCAGGCUAGAGUCUUGUAGAGGGGGUAGAAUUCCAGGUGUAGCGGUGAAAUGCGUAGAGAUCUGGAGGAAUACCGGUGGCGAAGGCGGCCCCCUGGACAAAGACUGACGCUCAGGUGCGAAAGCGUGGGGAGCAAACAGGAUUAGAAACCCCAGUAGUCCC